GAUGAAGAACGUAGCGAAAUGCGAUACUUGGUGUGAAUUGCAGAAUCCCGUGAACCAUCGAGUCUUUGAACGCAAGUUGCGCCCGAAGCCGUCAGGCCGAGGGCACGCCUGCCUGGGCGUCACACGCCGUUGCCCCCCCGCGCCCCGCACCCAACUCUUUGGGAGCGACCGCGGGGCGGGCUGAUGAUGGCCUCCCGUGCGCUCCGCCGCGCGGUUGGCCCAAAUACCGAGUCCCCGGCGACGUGCGCCACGACGAUCGGUGGUUGAGAGACCUCUGUCGCAAGUCGUGCGCGCCCGUCGCGUCACGCGGGCUCGCAUAGCGCCUCGCGCCGCACCCGGUGCGGAGCUUUCCACGCGACCCCAGGUCAGGCGGGGUUACCCGCUGAAUUUAAGCAUAUCAAUAAGCGGAGGA
rnacentral:misc_RNA from 1 species